rnacentral:rRNA from 1 species
GACGAACGCUGGCGGCGUGCCUAAUACAUGCAAGUAGAACGCUGAAGGAGGAGCUUGCUUCUCUGGAUGAGUUGCGAACGGGUGAGUAACGCGUAGGUAACCUGCCUGGUAGCGGGGGAUAACUAUUGGAAACGAUAGCUAAUACCGCAUAAGAGUAGAUGUUGCAUGACAUUUGCUUAAAAGGUGCAAUUGCAUCACUACCAGAUGGACCUGCGUUGCAUUAGCUAGUUGGUGGGGUAACGGCUCACCAAGGCGACGAUACAUAGUCGACCUGAGAGGGGGAACGGCCAAACUGGGACUGAGACACGGCCCAGACUCCUACGGGAGGCAGCCAUAGGGAAUCUUCGGCAAUAGACGGAAGUCUGACCGGGCAACGCCGCGUGAGUGAAGAAGGUUUUCGGAUCGUAAAGCUCUGUUGUAAGAGAAGAACGAGUGUUGGAGUUGAAAGUUCACACUGUGACGGUAUCUUACCAGAAAGGGACGGCUAACUACGUG